UCGAACGAGAAAGGGGAGCAAUCCCUGAGUAAAGUGGCGCACGGGUGAGUAACACGUGACUAACCUACCCUUGAGUGGGGGAUAACUGAGGGAAACCUUAGCUAAUACCGCAUAAUACCCACGGGUCAAAGGAGCAAUUCGCUCGAGGAGGGGGUCGCGGCCGAGUAGUUAGUUGGCGGGGUAAUGGCCCACCAAGACGAUGAUCGGUAUCCGGCCUGAGAGGGCGCACGGACACACUGGAACUGAAACACGGUCCAGACUCCUACGGGAGGCAGCAGUGGGGAAUUUUGCGCAAUGGGGGAAACCCUGACGCAGCAACGCCGCGUGGAGGAUGAAGUACUUCGGUACGUAAACUCCUUUCGAUCGGGACGAUUAUGACGGUACCGAGAGAAGAAGCCCCGGCUAACUUCGUGCCAGCAGCCGCGGUAAUACGAGGGGGGCGAGCGUUGUUCGGAAUUAUUGGGCGUAAAGGGUGCGUAGGCGGUUUGGUAAGUCUGAUGUGAAAUCUAUGGGCUCAACUCAUAGUCUGCAUCGGAAACUG
rnacentral:rRNA from 1 species